rnacentral:lncRNA from 1 species
AAACAACAACCUCACCAACUUCGGGCGCAGGUACCGCCUCGUUCCCAGGUGCUCUGCCCACCCCCUUAGGAAAGAAAUUAUUUUCCUCAAACGACGCGAUGUCUUGCGGAGUCACUUGAGAGCGCCCGAAGUAAAGAGUGGGAAUACACUGAACUUUUCCCCCAGCGGGAUUGGCUACCCCUAACCUCGCCCCAACCUUGGCAUCCUC